UUGUGUUUGGUGCCAAGCUCGUAAUACUCCCCCUUGUACUGCGGAAGGAUGGUUUGAGUCAAUUGCAGUUAUGUAGCGCAUCUUAUCUCUCUCCCCUUAAACCAACUGGAAAAUGGGCAAUUGCUUGAUGAGAGAGCCCUUAGUGGCUAUUUUAUCCCCAUUUAUCCCCCAACUCCCCCUUGUACUGCGGAAGGACGGUUGGAGUCAAUUGCAGUUUUGUAGCGCACCUUAUCUCUCUCCCCUUAAGCUAAUUGGAAAAGGGGCAAUUGCUUGAUGAGAGAGCCCUUAGUGGCUAUUUUAUCCCCAUUUAUCUCCCAAGGUUCCAAGGAUCCACGGUGACAAUAUAUCCAAAUCUCAUCCCAUGAUCACAUGCGCUACACUCACCCCCCUUUCAGAGAUGUCAAUGUCCUCAUUGACUAUUGACUAACAACCCCUACUGAGCCAAGGGGAACCAGCACCUCCAUUUCCGCACUCAAUCUACCAGCUAUUCCAUGUGAGGCAACUAGUCAUCCACCCGUACCGCAGUCCCACGGUGGAUACCUUCGUCCGUGGAUACACCACACAAGAGGAAGGACGUACGCAUGGAUGCCCAAUACGUACGAUUUCAAAUUUAGGGGUAGGAAUAUACCUUGCUCAAGGGUAUAUUAUACUUUUAAGUAAUCACUAAUCAAUGGGAAUCGAACCCGUGCCAUUUGCUUCGAUACCAACUGUAGCGCACCUUAUCUCUCUCCCUUUAAGCCAACUGGAAAAGGGGCAAUUGCUUGAUGAGAGAGCCCUUAGUGGCUAUUUUAUCCCCAUUUAUCCCCCAAGGUUCCAAGGAUCCACAGUGACAAUAUAUCCAAAUCUCAUCCCAUGAUCACAUACGCUACAAGUUUCCCGUCCAUUUGAGUUGGUGGCAUUUGAUCUCAUAGGACCUUUUCCACGGUUGAUUGCUGACAAUGAGUAUGUUAUUAUUGCUUCUGACUACUUGACUCGUUGGGUGGAAGUUGGUGCUCUUGCUAGUGCUUUUGCAACUGAUGUUGGAUACUUCCUCCUCAAUCGAGUGGUGUUCCAGCAUUCUUGUCCAGAGCAAAUUCUUUUGGAUAAUGGUCUUGCAUUUAUGGUUGAGGCAUUUCAUAUUUUGACAUCUCAGUUGGGGAUACGCUACACUUUCACGAGUGUUUAUCAUCCACAAUCAGACAAUCUGGUGGAAUGGCUCGUUCGGAUAUUCAAAGGGAUGAUAGUGAAGUAUAUGAACUUUUAGCAUUCGGAUUGGGAUGGUUAUUUGCCGUCUCUUUGGUAUGCCUAUGUCAUAGGGGUGUAGAGUUCUAUUAGUGCUUCACCAUACAAACUUAUAUAUGGUCAUGAUCCAAUAUUACCAAUGGAGCUAGGUUUACCUUUGCGAUUGCCACAAGCUCCUGAUGCUAGGUCGUGGGAUCAAUAUUUGAUGAGCAUUCUUCCACUUGUCUAAGCAGAGUUUGCCGAACACUUAGGCCGCGUACAAGUGGGACAAUAACGGUGCUACAACUCCCAUCAUCAUCCACCAGCAGAGUACAAAGUGGAUGAUUUAGUGUUAGUCCGUUUUCCCCAUAUUACGGUACAUUGUUUAUCUAAGGGGCUCUUUGCACAAUGGAAAGGACCGUAUCGGGUGUUACAGCAAGUUGGACUGCAAGUUUAUGAACUUUGGCAUGACGUUCAACAGGCUGAUCCUCUGAAGAUUGUGCAUGUGCAGCGGUUAAAACGCUUCAUACAAAGGGAUCAAGAGUAAUUAAUACCAUCUACAGAUCCGCCAAUGCCUCCUCCUAACGUUCCUCCAAAUCCCAGCAUGUCUACAAGAGAACUCUGAUGGCCUUCCAUUAUUCUGAGAGCAGAGGAUGAUGUGAGGGCCAAGUAUACGGCUACGAUGCGGUAUAUUAAUAUUAGCGUAAUAAGAUUUUAGUAGCUGUCAGAUUGGUUUCAAUCCGGACCAUUCAUUCUUGUAUAUAAGCUAAGGUUUUUAAGCUAAUUGUAUUCCCUUUCCACACUCACAGCACUAAAUUUAGAGAGAAAAAAUGUUGUAAUGUAUAUAAUUUAAGAUUAAUCUAAAUGAUGAUAAAUAUAUUAGGAUACACAGGAGAUGCCGGUGUGUUAAAUUAAAGGAUAUUCUAGGUACCCAUCUUGCAAACCAAAAUUUAGCUUUGGACGAUCAUCUUAUUGAAAGAAAUUCAGGCAAGCAUUCUUUUGAUUGCCUAAAGUUUGCUCUUUUCUAGAGAGAGUUUUGGUCUAAUGCUUCAGUGAGACCAUGUAAACCGUCUGAAUAAAUGAAUGAAUUAAUGAGUGGAAAAAAGAGCAGAGAAACAACUUGAACGUCAAGGUAAAAAAUAAACACUUCCUCUCUUUACUUGGGUAUCUUUUUUUUUCUUGCCUGCUCUCAAGCUCGUCCGGCUUGUCCCCAGCAGCUCCAGGGUACUCUUCUGAAGCCACCAGCUUGUAACACCAAGAAGACGUUGUGUGUUGCCUGCCAACAAUUCUCUCUCUCCUAGCUUCUUGGCUGUGUUAGAAUCCGCCUCUAAUCUUCUUCUAUGCUCUCUUAGCUCUUUGUUGUGGUUGUUGCCACCACCAUUUGCAAAAUCAUACAAAAGGAUUCUCAUUUAACAUAUAGCUUUCUAAGCUUUGUGGAGCUAGCCAGCACAAGUUACCAGAAAUCUUUCUUGGCCACACCAACUCACUGGAUACCUCCUUCAACAGUUCUCUCAUGCUAGGAUCUGUGUUUUCACAGUUGAUCAAAAGCAAGUCAAACAUUUCUUUCCUACAACACUACAAAGGGCUAAGCUUGGCAUCGAGCCUCACCACUUGAAAAUCAUAGUUCCAUUUUCCACAGUUCAAACUUUGAGCUAAACUUAUAACUGGAUAGGGUCAUAUUUAAAAGAUAUAACAAUAAAGUAUCUUAUUAUGGUGGUAGUGAUAUCACAUCAUCGCUAUUGCGAUAGCUCGUCCCCAGCCGCUUAACCCUUCUCUUGGUCUCUCCUGGUAUGCUCUCGUCUCACAAACUGCUGCAGAACAUGUUACUACGAUCGAUUGAUGAUCAAAUUGCAAUAUAUCCCACAUGCUUGUAAGUAUACCACCUCGCACACAAGACAUAUAUCCCAAGGUUGAUAGAAUUGUCAGCAGCCAGUAGAAGUACUCAAUGUGAGCCCUGUUGAGAUUGUCAUUGAUCCAGUUGCCGUCAACGCGGCCACCUUUUGUACUUGUAAACUUGACCACCAUCUCCACGAGCAAGCUGCUAAUGAAGCUCCCGAUGGAGAUGGUGCUGAGAUAGAGCGCCACUCCAAUGCUUCGCAUGGAAUCCGGGGCUUGAUCGUAGAAGAACUUGUUCUGGCCGACGGAGAUGAAAACCUCGCAAACUCCCGUGAGCGCGUACUGGGACAAGAGCCAGAAUGCGCUCAUCGGGACCGUCGACUGGGGGCGAUCCAAAACCGUGUUGCCUAGCCACUCGCAAGCGCUUCAUCUCCACCAGCGCGGCGAUGGCGAUGGAGACCGUGGAGAUGACCUGGCCGAUCCCAAUGCGCUGGAGCAUCGUGAUCCCUCGCUCGUUCCCCGUGAUCCGGCGCGCGAAUGGCACAAAGUAGCGGUCGUAGAGCGGCAUGAUGAUGCAAAUGGUGAGGGUGAUGAAGAGCGUGAAGGAGGCGGCUGGGAUCUGGAAUCGCCCCAGAUGCCGCUCCAUGGUGUCGCCCUGGUUGAGGAAUAAGGUGCCCACCUGGGCGAAGACGCUGCUAAAGAUGAGGUUCGUGAACCAGAUGGGCAUCACUCGCACUAGGAGCUUCACUUCCUCGACUUGCGUCACUGGGCACAGGCUCCACGGCUUCACUUCCUUGCUCUGCAGAUCCUUCUCGCUCACCACCGCCGCCUUGUUCAGGAAUCUGCUCGCGAUCAAUCGUAGUAAGCUAAGAUUGUUCUUCUGGACUUACGUGAAUUCUUUACUCCUGGGAUGUGUGGGAACUGCGCCUCCUUGUCGCUCAGCUCGUACAGCUUCUCAUUGUCGUCUGGAACGCUCACAUUCCACUUCCUGGUGGCCGCCACCAGGACCUGAGCGACGCGGGUGAAGGAACUUCCAGCGGGCUUUUGGGUGCGAUAGUUUGAUCUCCCGGAGAAGAAGAGGAGGGUGGCGAGGGCGACGACAGCGGUAGCGCCGCCUCAUCCCCACGUCCAUCCGUAAGUCACCUGGAUGUAGACGAGGGCAGUGACCGAGAACUUUGAUUGUUUUCGCAGGUAGAGAGCAAGAUGGAAGCCAAAGAGGAAAAGAAGCGAUUGAAAGCACAAGUAAAAGCCGAGGAGAAGCAGAAAAGGAAGGCACUGAAGAAGAAAAUGAAAGAGAACGGUGAAGCUGGCGAGCCAGAAGCAAAGAGAGCUGAGCGAAGCAGAAGAGCUGCCGAGGAGGAUGACGAUGGAAACAAAGGAGCUUCCGAUGAGGAUGACAGGUAUAGCAGGAGGAAAAGAUCUGCCGAGGACAGCGACGGGGAAGACAGGCAUAGAAACAAAAUAGGUGCUUCUUCGCGGGAUGAUCGAGAAGAUCGCAGCAAAAGAAUUCCCGAGAGAGACGAGCAAGACAGGUACAGAAGCAACCAAGUUCGCGAGGACGAUGAUAGGAGAAGUAGAAAGCGGGAGAGACACGAUAGCCCAGACGUGAAUGAUCGGCAUCGCAGGCACGAAGACAGGCACAGGGACAGGGAGGAAAACCGCGACUCCGGCAAGCCACCGCUGCCGAGGAAGAAAGUCCAGCUGAGCGAGGAGGAGAGAUGCAGCAGGACGCGGAGCUCCACGAGGAGCAGCGGUGGCAGCGGAUCAAACGCGCCUCGGCGAGCGACGCUGUCCAGGAGGAGAAGGACUCGAUCAAGUCGGGGAAGAACUUCCUGGACGAGACGAACAGGAGUGUUUAUGGCACCGAGAAUGGAGGCAGUGCCUCGGUCGCGGAUACUUUGCAUCGGCGAUCGCACUACCGCGAGAAGUUCACGCGUUUAGGCGAUCAUAGAGAUGAUCGCGUAGAGAUGGCAAAGAAACCUUUUGGGUGUAAACCAUCAUCGACUAAAGAACCAUUUGAAGUUCUUUUAGUAUGAGAGGUCAUGGAAUUUAUUGACAAUUGGAAGAAUCAUCGAUGAAUGGAGCCUUUUCAUUUCUAUCGCUAGUAUCUAGUGCCAGGGAUGAGAGUAUCGAAGAAGUGGAGCCUUGGGUCUUGAUGCUGUGGGAUACAACCACUGCCCAUCACUCCUCCCCCUUGGUUCUUGUGAUCCUGAGCUUGGAUCUUGCUGCUUGCCCCUUGGUUGUGCGCUCCUGACGAGGGAUCCUGGUGGAAUUGCUCUUGAUCUGGCGAAUUCGCGGAGGAGGAAGGCGAGUCGUGAUGGAAGUGAUGGACUCGAGCCUCGUAGAUCGCUGCAGUGGCCGUGGCAGCCGCCAUAGUUGCCAUAGAUUUGAAGUAAGCCAUAGAUCCUGUAAUCUAUAGCAUAGAAUUGACGCGAAUUGGAGGAGAGGAUCUGGAUGCUAGCGCUACUGGCUACCGGAUUGAUCGAUCGAUCGAUCGAAUUGGAGGGAGCGGAGAUGGGAGGGGAUGAGAUCGCAGAGCACAGGCUGUGCCACCAAACGAGGAAUGGUACUUUUAUUGCGUCAAUCGAAAGCGUGGAGCCAGGCGUGGUCAAGAACACACGCUAGUGGCAGCGAAUCUAUGCAAGCCACGUGUCUUUUUGUGCGUACGCGGCGAGAUUCCAGCCCCUUGACGCGCCAGUUUUUUCUAGAAAUUGAAAAGCGUCUUGAUUGGAUUUUUCCCAAUCAAACUUCGAGGAUUUGAUUGAGAGUGAUCAGCAUCAAUUGGAUUGGAUCAUCCAGGACCCUCUUGUGAAAUUCUGCUCUAUGCUGGUUUUAUCUCUGGAUUGAGAUAGUUAUCCUUACCUCAAAACCAAGUUUUCAGAAUUGGUUGUACAAGUGAUUGGUGUGCGGUUUGCUGUUUGGAUCAUUUCUGAGGGAUUUCGCUUUGUGUAGAACAGUGUGCCCCUGGAAAGUCUGAAAUUUCUUAGUUUUGAAGUGUGGCGGGACUAGAUUCUUAGAUGCUGGCAAAAAAUUCUCUCCAUCUAAUGUAAAUUCAGUACUAGCAAACAUAAUAUGCGAUUCCCACUGGCAAAGCUUUUGUACUGGUGUGAUUUCACGGUUUGAAGAAUCUUUACCGAUCGCGAUCGCGUAUUAAUUUAUAGCCCCACUUUCGACAUGCAUGUUUGAAUUUUACAAAUGGAAAUCCCAAAGUUGCAAAGACGAUGGUGGUGUAGGUCAAGACACUAAUCUCCGAAUCGAUGAUUGUUUCAAGGCACUAGCCAAGAUUGCAUCAACAGAUAUGCUUUUUUUCUCAUAGAGAGCAAUGUAUGGUCAAGAGGUUUUAUUGGAUGGAAUAAAAAAGUGUAGCAAUCUAUCUGCAGCUUGUAAGCUUCACAAUGACAUCAAGCACCUCCUUGCGGCAGGAGAUUGUUUGGCAUCCAAUUUUCUGGUGCAAAUGUAUCGGAGGUGUGGAUGCCAUCUAGAUCGAGGAAUGGAAUGCCAUGCCGCAUCAAACAGCUAUCUUGACCAAGCAAAGCAGUUGUUUGAUCGAAUGGAACCUUGCUUCAUGGUGGAACAUGCCUUCUCUCGGCAUGGCUUACUCCUGUUUUUGAUUCCAUGAGAUGAAUGCAAUGAUAGUAUGACACAAACGGGCAUUUGGAUAAAGCAAUGUAUCUUUGAGCUUAUGCCGGAAAGGAGCUAAUCUCUUUAUCAAAGACCACCGACAUAUGCCAAUUAAGGACUCUGUUUAUGCCGAGAGAUCUUGUUUCUUGGAACUCUCAUGCCCAAGCUGGGCAUUUUCAGGAGGCGAAGAACAUCUUUUCCAACAUGCCAGAGUUUGCUCCUCUGUCUUUCACGCCCAUUCAGUGCGUUGGCCACCCUCAUAAGGAUUUGGUUGCGUCUACUGCUCUGCUUGUCAUCUUGGCGGAGAGUGGCUGCUUCACGCAGAUCACGACGACAGUCGAGGCUGAGCAGAAUUUUUACAGCAUGCAGCGUUUAUGCUGCGCUUGUAUUCUCAAGAACGGACUCAUGACGCCGAAGCCAUAUAUUUAGGUCUGCCUGAUCAAGGCGAUCAUUUAGUCCGGCAACAUCUAAAGAAUCUCUUUGAUGAAUGACGAGACGAGGUUACGUGGACCGCCAUGCUGACAGGGUAUGUUAACUACCAGAAGUUGGAGGAAGCGUUCGAAACAAUGCCGAUCACAGCGUAGAUUGUGCUCAUAGCCGAAUCCUACGUGGACUACAUGGCAAAAAAUUUUGCUCCAUAAAGGUUGAUUUGCCAAUAAAUCUCAGCGUUUCUACUUCAAGAAACUAAUUUUUAGAAUGGGUGUGCGAUUGAUAGUUUCCAUUGUUGCCUCGCUUGCUGCUUUGAUCAUUCCUAAAACAUUUGGGUGUGGGGAUUUCUCACUUACUUGUAAUAUAUUUAAAUCAAGCGCAACCAAAAUUCAUUUAAAAUGGUGUCUCCCUGGAAAAUCUAAGAUUUAUCUGGACUUGGACAAUCACAUCCACAAUGAUAAUGGGAAUUUAAAGUGUGGCGGGGCAAAUUUCUUAGAAACAUGCACGCCCAUAGGUUACAGAUAUAACAAUGAAACCAUUUCAAGGUUGGUCUACUAUGCGACGUGCCAAGACAACAGUGGUGCGAAUCAUGAAACUAAUCUCCGACGAUGAUUGUUUCUACAACAACCAAGGAACCAUCCAAGAUUGUGCAUGAUUAUGUGGUUUUUUCUAACAGAGAACCAUGUUAACACUAGAUUGUCGAGAGCUUUUGUUGGAUGCAAUAAAGAAGUGUACCAAUCUAUCCACAGCCUCUAAGCUUCACAAUGAGAUUCAGCACCUCCUCGCGGCAGGAGACUGCUUGGCAUGCAAUUUGGUGGUGCAAAUGUAUGGGAGGUGUGGAUGCCCAGAAGCAGCAUGGCAAAUCUUCCGCGGCUCUACAUCACGGAAUCGAUUCUCGUGGAAUGCCAUGCUCUCUGCCUUCGCAUCAAACAGCCAUCUUGACCAAGCAAAGCAGUUGUUUGAUCGAAUGCCCGAAUGGGAUGUUGCUUCAUGGUCGAUCAUGAUCACUGCCUUCUCUAGGCAUGGCUUACUCCUACAGGCAAAAGAAGUUUUCGAUUCCAUGAGAGAGAGAGAGGCCUUGUAGCAUGGAAUGCAAUGAUCUUAGCAUAUGCCACAAACGGGCAUUUGGAUAAAGCAAUGUAGCUCUUUGAGCUGAUGCCAGAAAGGAGCUUAAUCUCUUGGACCACAAUUCUAUCCAAAUCUACCAGCUUGGUUCAAGUAACGACACUCUUCAGCUCCAUGCCUGAGAGAGAUCUUGUUGCUUGGAACUCUCAGCUAUCAGCACUUGCCCAGGCUGGGCAUUUGCAGGAGGCGAAGGGCAUCUUCUCCAACAUGCCAGAAUUUGAUGCUCUGUCUUUUAUGUCCAUGAUUCAGUGCUUUGGCCAGCACGGGCUUUUGGAAGAUGCCAAGUGUUUCUUCCUCGCGCUGCCUCACAAGGAUUUGGUUGCCUCCACGGUUUUGCUUGUCGUCUUGGUGGAAAGUGGCUGCUUUCACGAGGCAAAGAAUCUGUUUGAGUCGAUGGAGUGUAUAGAUGUGGUUUCAUGCGCGGUAAUCCUGUCCGCUUACGCAGAUCACGACGACAGCAGCAUCGCGGAGGCUGAGCAAAUUUUUUACAACAUGCAGCGCCAGAACGCGUUUGCUUGCACUGCAAUGCUGCGCUUGUAUUCUCGGCGAGGACGGACUCACGACGCCGAAGCCGUAUAUUUAGGUCUGCCUGACCAAGGCGAGCAUUUAGUCCCGGCAACCGCUCUCAUUACAGCAUAUGCUUGCAACGGGUAUCUGGAAAAAGCAAAGAAACUCUUUGAUGGAAUGAAGGAGCGAAACGAGGUUACGUGGACUGCCAUGCUGACAGGAUAUGUAAACAACACAGGAUAGAAGACGCCCUGUGGAUUUUCGAAAAAAUGCCGGGUCACAGCGAGAUACCGCUGACGGCAUAUGCCCGAAGUGGACAUAUGCUUUUUGCUAAGAGAAUUUUUGACAACUCCAAUGAAAAGAGUGCUAUUGCUUUUAAUGCUCUCUUAUCUGGUUUUUCAUCAAAUUCGCAGUUACUGGAAGCCAAAAGUGUGUUCGAUUCAAUCCAAGAAAGAAACCAAUCUUCAUGGAGUGCAAUGCUUUCUGCAUAUACCCUAAACGGGCAUUUGGAUAUGGCAAAUCGGAUAUUCUUAGCAAUGCCGGACAUGGUCACUACCAAUACACCUGAUGAAGCUAGCUUAACAGCUUUGCUCACGUCAUGUGCUCACAAAGGCACUGCUGCCAUAGCUCGGGAUCUCUUUGUGUCUUUCCAGUUUGAUCACUCCAUCAAACCCUCAAAGCAACACUACUCUUGUAUGAUUGGUGUCCUUGUCCGGUCAGGGUAUAUCCAAGACACUGAGAAUCUUCUGUGGGAGAUGCCAUACUACCCAGAUUCCAUGGAUUGGAAGUGCUUGCUUGGAGCUGUAGUGAGUGGAGAUGCAAUGAAAAAUGCCAUUAGUGUGGAGCCUAGUAAUAGUGCUCCAAAUGUUCUUAUUGCCAAUUCUCACAUAGUUACAUAGCUUAGAUAUUUUCAAGAGAUUAUAUCAAUUUUUACAACUAUAUCAAAUUUUCUUACAAGGUGCCAUGGUUUUGGUUGGCUAUUUGAUCGGCAUUUAUAAAGAUCCCAUGGAAUCCAUAUGGAACUCCAGCAAGCAACUCUAUAAAAGCCACUGUCUCAAGCAUGGGCAUUUGGCAUCCAUGACCAAAAGCUCCAAGACACCAUUUUUCUCAUCAUGGACGUAGCUUAAGACAUAUCCAUCGCCUUCCUCCUCGCCAUUCGCCACAAAACUUACCACGUUCGAAUCUCCUCGACGCCACAAUGCAUGGCUCCUUGAGGUCCAGGUCACUUGUUCCAUCAAUUACCACCUUGGGCAGCCGUGGAGCAUCCAGAUCGACCUUGGCCAGGCCGGAGAAUCUGGGCCAUGGCCCAUAGUAGCGCAUGUAGACGUACUGGUUCUUCUGCCCCAGGAAUUUCUGGUUGAUCUUUCCAAAAUCCAGUCCCGCCGAGCACAUGUGUUGCUUCCACGACCAUCCAGAUUGAAGGUCCAGGUGGAGCUCGUGCAAUCUGUUGGACAAUCCGGCGAAAUCAUCAAACAGAUGUUCUACUGGCACAAUGGAUGAGCUGAGCACGACGAUCUUGUCCGUCCCUUCCUCCCAGGCGUGGAUGUAGUGGAAUUACAUCCAAUCCAGGACGUCAAUCCAGAAGAUCCUACGGCCGGGAUGCCAAAUCUGGGACCCUUUUGGGCAGUAUCUCCAUCAAUGACCAGUUUGUUCUCGAGCACUACAUCCUGGAAAUUCAUCUCUUUUCCUUCUGUCUGGGCUUGCCCAGAAGUAAUGGAGGUGGGGAUUGAUCACUGAAGUUAACCAACCAAAGAUUUCUAUUUUUGAUGAGCACACGUGAAAUCUAGGCUAUUAUUCAUGUAAAAUCUAACCUUGGGCUUCACUAAUCUGCCUACUACCUCCUAAUGCAUUUUUCAAUGUAAUCCUCACCUAGUUGUUAGUGAGUGGUUGAACCAUUUGAUGUGGCAGUUAACUGAGGUGUAUGCAUGGCAAGAGUAAAGUGAGGGGUUAUGCACUAAAAAUCUCACAAUGGGUAUUUAAGAUUAUGUAUGCUAUUAUAUGUGGGAUUUUGGGCAAAAAAUAUAUAUGUGCAUUAUUCUAAAAUAAAGUUACAGUGCUAAGAAUUUUAUAUAAAAUUUUAGGAAGAAUGAUUUGAAUUUCAUUAGAUAGAGUUGUGGUACAUAGUGAAGUUUUAGUGAUUUUUUGUUUUCAUUGUCAUUUUCAUUAACAAUUCUAGUUAUUCCUAAUAUGUAUUUUUGCCAAAUUGAUUUAUUUUAAAAUUGUUCUAGUUUUUUAUUCUAGGAAUUUUGGCUUAUAAUUUGUACUUUAAAUCACUAGUGCUCCUAUUGGACAAUGCUCUUGUUAGCUAGUGUUGCAAUUAUGUUGUGAAUCUCAUUUAAACUCAUGUUAUAGAGUCAACAAUAGUGUUAUAAAUUUGGUAACUUCUUCUUGAGUACCUCUCAUCUUGAGUAGCCAUCCUAUGAACUUUUUGAGAAAUAAUUAUAAAAAGUUUAGUGAAGUAUCUAACUUAUAGUUCUGGUGUUGUGUGUGAUACGAACCACAAGAUGAGAGGUACUCAAGAAGAAGUUACCAAAUUUAUAACACUAUUGUUGACUCUAUAACAUGAGUUUAAAUGAGAAUCGUGGAAUGGAAAUCAUUACUGAAUGCUUGUGAUAGUCAAGAGGUUGAUUCUUAGUUAGAAUUGUAGGAAGUUGUUAAUCUCACAAUCUUUGUGAGGAUAAAGUGAAGAUAGAUUUUUUUGUGACAAAGUUUACAAGCCAUUCUUCUUUAUAGUGGAAGAACUACAUCAAAGCUAAUCCAAAGCCACACUUCAUUUGUCAAGAAGUUUGAACAAGUUGAUCUCGUAAAUCAGCUAUUAGAGAUUCGGUAGGGCACUUUGUUUUUGGAUGUGUAUGCCCGCAAGUUCUGUGAUCUUUGCCUUAGUUUCACAGGCACCUAUAAUUAAUUGUUAAACAUGCAAUGUUUCAUCAAAGGAUUGAAUUCAAUAGAUGUGCAGUAUAAGGUCAAGAAGGAUUUUCUAGCAACAUUGACUAAUGCUAUCACUAAGGCUCAGAUCUUUUUGCCCAAACCGUUAGUCAACUUGUUCAACUCCAGUCAAUGGGAUGGUCUACAGGGUGAUAACUAACUUGCCAAUGCUUCAUAUUUGAGGAAGAAACAGCUGUUGUUCCAUUGUGGCUCGAAGCAUAAAGAUGGCAGUAAGGCUAAGAAACUUCGUUUGGACCAACAAAAGAAGGACAAGGUAGAAAGCAAUUGUUUUUGUUGCCAUAAGGCUGGACAUCAGAGCAAAGAUUGUUCUAAAGGGGUCAAUAAAUGAUAAAGUGACUGUGAUGGAAGUUAAAGGCAAUGAUGUGAGUGAUAGUGUUUUUAGGGCUGCAUUACUUCAAGUUAGGCAUUCAUGAGCCACAAAUUUGAUGCCAUAUAGUGGAAUUAACCUAAUCACAACAAAGAGUUGUAUAUUGUGAUUGUUGCUGUGAAAGAAUGGCAAUAUUAUUUGUAUGGAUCAAGCUUCCAUAUCGAUUUUGUUCAUCAAUCUUUCUAGAUGUGGAUCUUCGAGGCCACCUUGCUCGUUGGCAAGAGUUCCUGCAGGAAAUAUCAAUUAAGAUCCAGUACAAGCAUGGAGGUGACAAUAAAGUGGUUGAUGCAUUAUCCAAGAUGGUAAAUUCUAUUUCAUUCGUAAAGCUAUUUAGCAAUCUCUUGGAUGAGCUUAAGGAGUUUGUUGACUUCAACUCCUUUAUCAUUGAUAUUUGUGCUAAAGUUUUGUUGAGGGACCCCUCUACAUAUUUGAAGGGUGACAAGUUUGCAUCAUUUGAGAUAUGAGAUGGAAUCCUAGUGAAGAAGGGACAUAUAGUGGUUCUUCGUGUUGACAAACUCAUCAAACGGAUUUUGGUUGAGUGUCAUGAUGUGCCAAGUGCUGGGCAUUCGGGGGUAUUAAGAACAUAUAUAUUGGUGAAGAGGUAUUUCUUUUGGCCUGGGAUGAAGUCAGAUGUUGAGAAGUACAUACGUGGUUGUUUGACUUGCCAAUUGGUCAAAGUUAAUCAUUAGAAGCUUAUCAUUCUUUACGUAUACCCAAGAAUAAGUGGGAUAACAUUUCAAUGGACUUUAUCAUUAGUUUGCCCAAAACCUUUCGAGGAAAUGAUGCUAUUUGGGUGUAAGUGACUAAAUUUUCCAUUUUACUUUAGUCACUUAACCACGCCUUCAACCAUUUGGAAGAGUCUCACUCACAACCUUUGUAAGUCCUAUUUUGGACUUAAGGACUUGCUAGCCCCAAGAAUGGCAUCCAUGCCACUCAACCAUUGCACUUGGUCUAAGUGCUCCACGUGUCUGAUCCCAUGACCGACACCCCAAAGUACCACUGACAUCUCUGCCUGUUACGCUAAGGUUAUGCCCCUUCACCUUGGUCACACUGGUGGUCUAACACCACCUACAUCACAGUCCCGUUUCUCAAAGACUUGGCUAUCCAUCCAUGAGUGAUCAUCCCAGAUCCACUCCUUAGUAUCCUUAGGAUGCCCGCAGGCAUAGGGAAUAACCUUCCCUAAUAUCCCUUUUGCGAUCCCCACUAAGUCCUUUUCUGUCCAUGGCCGUGUUUGCCAACACUGGCACUGGAUCAAGGCCCACGGGCCCGACCACUAAGUCCCAUGGACCUCUGGGACUUCCUCACUGUGUGACUGUGCGCUUGGUCACCACACCAGAGGGCUACUCCUCUUCCUUUCCAUAGUUUGGGCUUUUGGGAUAACAUUUCGGAACACCGUAGCCCUACGUGAACCUCAUGGGUACUCUCCUCGCCUUCCGCCUUUGGGUGCUCUAGCCAUGGGCUUAGAGCGAGGUUCCAUUGAGCCACGCUAGGUAUCCAAGUAGGUAAUGCCACCCACACUUGGACUAGGAGCAUCGACCAUUCGAUCUCCUAGGGGAAUUAGAGCCGGCUCUUGAACACUUCACCAAGCGACCCCGCUUGUCGGUCCGUAUUCACUCUAGUCUUGGACUUCCUAGUGGUUAUCCCAUCACCCAACACCUGGGUAUAACCUUUCUAGGACAAACUAGCCUUUCCUGGCCAAACUGGCUCCAUUGGAGUCCUCCCCCUACUAUACUUUUGGAGCUCACCAAACCCCCCAAGGUCUAGGAGACAAACGCUUUGGGCUUUCACCCUCUCAAACUUGAACUCGGACUCGGACUCGAACUCAGACUCAGACUCGAGCUUGGGCUCGGUCUCGGUCUCGGCCUCGGCUUCGGUCUCGGUCUCGGUCUCGGUCUCGGUCCCGGUCUCGGUCCCGGUCCCGGUCUCGGUCUCAGUCCUGGUCCCGGUCUUGGUCUCGGUCUCAAUCUCGACUUCGGACUCCAUCUCAGGUCCUUCUCAGACUCCAUCUCGUGUCCAUCUCAGACUCCAUCUCGGUCCAUCUCGGACUCCAUCUCAGGUCCAUCUCGGACUCCAUCUCGGACUCCAUCUCAGGUCCAUCUCGGAUUCCAUCUUGGGUCCAUCUCGGACUCCAUCUCGGGUCCAUCUCGAACUCCAUCUCGGACUCCAUCUCGGGUCCAUCUCGGACCCCAUCUCUGACUCCAUCUCAGACUCCAUCUCGGGUCCAUCUUAGACUCCAUCUUGGUCCAUCUCGGACUCCAUCUCGGUCUUCAUCUCAGGUCCAUCUCGGACUCCAUCUUGGACUCCAUCUCGGGUCCAUCUCGGACUCUAUCUUGGGUCCCUUUUCUAGAGAUUCUCUUAUGGCUUGCUUCAUACUCGUUCCUUAAGCACUCUAUUGGGAGUUCCACUCCCGCUCUUGACCUUUCAAGUUGAAGUUUUUAGUCCAAACGUGUUAUGUUCGCUUGACUUUCGCUUCGGCCACUACCAUGUGGUGCCCUUUCGGCUCCACUUUGGGGCUUAGGGAUUUGUGUCUCACAUUGGGUUGUUAUGGAUUGUUUGAUGAAGAUGGCUUACUUCUUCCUUGUGAAGACAACAAUAAAAGCUUUUGAACUUACUUAAUUGUUUGUAAAUUAGUUAUUUAAUCUUUAUGGUUUGCCAGGUGACAUUGUGAGUGAUCAGGAUCCCAAGUUCAUGUCCAAGUUUUGGCAAACAGCCUUUGAGAAGCUAGGGACUAAGCUAAGCAUGAGUAGUGGUGAGUAUCCACAAUCUGAUGGGUAGAUAGAGCACAUGAAUCAGCUAUUAAAAGAUAUGCUAAGGUCUUUCAUGGGAAAUUUGACUCAACAAGGAGUAUAGGAGAAGUACUUGCCUUUGUUUUAGUUUGCUCACAAUAAUGCUCAUCAAUCAGCUAUUGGCAUAUCUCCUGUUAAGAGUGAGACAAAAGAUUUGCUAAUGAGCAUCGUCAUCAUCAAGAGUACAAAGUUGGUGACAAACUUUUCCUUAAGUUGUUGGAUGCACAACAGUCUCUGAAAGGAGGUGGCAAUGCUAAGUUGUCUCCAUAGUAUUGUGGGCCUUGGACAAUUUUACAGCGUGUGGGGGAUCUUGCAUACACUUUGGACUUGCUAGCUAGUUCGAAGAUUCAUUCAAUGUUCCAUAUGAGUAAGUUUAAAGCAUGUUUGAACUUUGGUGAUGUCGUGGAUCAGUCCAUCAUCCAGGUCCCAGAGAUUAAUACAAAGAAGGCUAGUCCGGCCAAUAUUCUUGCUCAAAGAUUGGUGAAAACAUGCCAAAAGACAAUUAAGGAGUUGUUAGUUCAGUGGAAUGGUUAUUCCAUGCACAAAGCUAUAUGGGAAAUUGAGGAUGACAUGAAGAGAGUGUUUCCGAGUUUUCAUUAUAACUUGGAUGACAUUCCUAAGGAAGGGGAGAAUUGAGUUUUAUAGCCGUAUUGCUAUAUAAUUUGAGCCAUUUGUUCUAUUCUCAUUCUCUUGUUUCUAUGACCGUAUUGUCAUUUGAGAAAGCUGUAUUGCUUUCUUUCUUUCAUGGCCAUUUGUUGUGAUGUUGGUGUUGUUGUUUGCACAUCUUUUCUUCAUGGUUGUAUUGCCUUGGACUCCCUUCAUAUGAGGCUCAUUUAGCUUCUUGAGGCUACCAUAUGUGGCUAAGUCAUGAGGGGGAGAAUAAAACAAACCACAAGAAUAUUUCAAGAAUAUUCCAUAGCUUGGGAUUUAAGACCGUAAUGCCUUAAGGGUUGGGAGGUUGGCCUAGGGUUUGCUCUCUUGUUCGUUUCAGUGUGAGUGAUGCAGAUCCCAUGGAAUGAGUGAAUCUUAAAGUAAAUAUGCCAGCUAUAUUGGUGUCACUGAUAGAAAUCUUAGUUUGCAAAAGAGAACUAAGUCUAAAGUGGUCACACUUGUUUAGGGUAGGAUCACUCAAAGGGUUAAAAAAACCUAUUAUAUACCUUUAGAGUAAAGGUUUAAUUGUUUUUUUAAAGUAUAUUCUUGGUGUUGCAUAAUCUAAAAUUUAAAUAUUAUUGGUUUUAAUAAAAGCCACUGAUCCAAUAAUUAAUUGAGAUGAAUAAACAAUUUGGAGAUCUUCUUUUCUCAAACCUUAUGUGUAUGGUUUUUGAGACAAUUUGAGUGUAAACAUAUUUGCUCAAGCCUUGUCAAAUGCAUUUCCACCUAUGAACAUGAUGGAUUUUAAGCUUAGUUGUUAAUGAGCUUCAUGGCAUCCUUGUGCAUAUGUUUCCUACUUGAGAAUAGGGGGUAAAGAAAAUAGAAAAAUGUUUCAAACCUCGAAAGAUGAGGAAGAACUACAAGCACAAGACAAAGUAAUGACACCACUUUCUUCCAUAAAUUUUUAAUCUCUCUAAAAAUUUCUAACCCUAGCAAGCAUUAAUCUAAGCUAAAUUCUUAGUGCUUAUGUCUUGUGAUGCAAUCUAGAACUGCUGUGACAACACACCCUAUAGCAAUGGUGUACCUUGGCAAACAAAAGUCUUUGCAAAUCUACAUUCCAUCCCCAGUAAUAGUUGGAAAUGCCAAAGCUACAAAAUUUCCCAAGAUUGAUCAAUCUAGAGAACAUUAUACUGUUUGGCACUUAAUGGUGUCCACCCUAAACCCUAGAUUUAACUUCAAACACUCAAACCAGGAGAUUAUUCCUGAAUAACUUUUGAGAUAAUUCCCAAACCUUGAUAAAGAAAUAAAUCAUUAGAUAAUGUCCCAAGAAAGAGAAUGCCACCACCAACUCUCACAGCUUGGAUUCCAAAGCCCAUAUGCUACUUAUUAUCACCAGGACUGAUGCAUCAAGCAACACAAAAAUACUUGAACAAUACCUAUUUAACAAAAGGAUGUUAGAACAAAGAAUGCCCCUUAAUCUUGCUUUUGAGAUCUGUGAAAUUUCUUCUUGGAUAAAUGGCAUCUACACAAAAACUUUAAGGAAUUAGCACUUAUACCAUUGAUGUUUAGGAAGAAAUUUAUAUAGCUUUGAUUAAUUAAAUUGGCUACCUUGUUUGAUGAAUGACUUUAACACAAUUUGAGAGCCACAUGAUUGCAUGUAUAUGACAAUGAGUGUUGUGGAUGAAGGUUCUUACUUAAGUUAUACUUCAUCUCUCUCUCUCUCUCUCUCUCUCUCUACAUUAGGCACAAUAGAUUGAAAUAGCAUGAUUUCCAUAAUAGGUGUUAAUGGUUGGGCAAGAAAGUCAAAAUUUGCUAGUCAUAGUCAAAGUAACAAAAAAAAAUUUCAAUUUAUGUUAUUUUAUUAAGGUCAUUUGCCUAGGCUAGUUGAUAUUUUAUGUAUUGCAUCAUGUAAAGGUGUUUUAUACAGAGAAGUUUUUAUUUUUUUUUACAUUUAUCCACUAAAAUAUAAAUAUAAAUGUUAAAUGAUAUUAUGAUAAAUAUAAAGUUGCUAUUUUGACUUUAUCCUGUAAUGUUGUGACUUUGGACUUGAAACUACACCUAACACAUGACUAAUAAAAAAUAAAUAAUAAAAAUAUAAAAAUAUAAAAUAUAAAAUAUAAUUAUAUAUAUAAUAUAUAAUUAUUAUAAACUAUAAUUAUAAAAUAAAAAAAAUCCCACCAUAAUCACCAAAUGAAGAGGUGUGGAAACUCCUCUUCGCUGGAAAUCUAUUGUUAGUAAGAAAACAAAAGAGAAAAAAGCCUAAUCUCCAAGGGCUGAGAAGAAGAAUGCGUUGAAAGAAUGCUGUAUAUUGAUAAAAAAAUAAUGAAUGGAGAUAGGGAUCCAUAAUUCAGAUUCCCCCCUUUGAAAGCUUAGCAGUUCUAACUGUCAGCAUAUACUAUAUGCUGUGCAUGAUUUAAUCUAUAGCUCCGAUGCAGCCCUUAGUUCAAGGUCAAAGUCCCUUGAGCUUGGGUUUUUGGUUGAUACAAUAUUAUAAGCCCUUUACUAAGAAAAACAUAUACACAUCUAAUAUCUUAAAGUUAAGUCAAUUUUGAAGAUAAUUCUCCAUCACAUUUUGCUAGGAAAAACAUCAUUUACAAGAAACCAUGCUUACUGGAAUAACCAAGAUUGCUCUAAAGAGUUCCUUCUCUACUCUAUUUAUAUAUAUAUAUGUCAAUUGUUUUUCAAAAUUCACUGUUUCAUUUUCAUUUUUAUUUAUUCCUCAAUCUCUUCUUCAAGCUUUAUUGCUUCAUUUUAGAGUUAAGGAGUUUUGAGGGUAAAAAUGAAGUGAUUACACAUUGGUAAACGCUAGGAUAUCCUUAAUACGUAUAUAUUAAGUAUAUUCUUAUAGAUAUAUUUUAUUCUUAUAAAAUCAUCAAAUGUGAAUGUCAAGUGAUCGACACUUUUUUUCAAUAGUCCUUAGACAUUUCAGUGGACUAAAACGAAAUGCAAAAACAUUUCAGGCAUUUACGGAUACAAUUAUUGGUCCUCUAAGUGUUCACAUAUCCUACGGACACACAAUUAUUGGUCCUCUCAGUGUUCACAUAUCCUGCCAGCAUUGCAACCUUUUCAUACCCAAUUUCUCUAGAAGCACUGUACUGCCUCAGCCCUAAAGUAUUAUUGCGAAGGUGAGAUCAUCCAAUCCAUAUUUCAAUUGGAGGGAUCAAUACACUUGAUAAAUCUAACUUAAUAGCUUUGCUCACUUCGUGUGCCCACAAAGGCACUGAUGCCAUAGCUGAGCAUCUCUUUGUGUCUUUUCAGUUUGAUCACUCCAUCAAACCCUCACAGCUAAUAUAGCAUCUCCCACAGAAGAUUCUCAGUGUUUUGGAUAUACCCUACCCAACUAAUCAUACAUGAGUAGUGUACCCGGAUUCCAUGGAUUGGAAGUGCUUGGAGCUGCAGCAAGUGGAGAUGCAAUGAAAAUUGCCAUUCCAUAUGUUCUUAUUGCACAUUCUCACAUAGUUACAUAGAUUAGAUAUUUACAAGAGAUUAUACAAAUUUUCUUACAAGGUGGCAUGGUUCUGGUUGGCUAUUUGAUCGGCAUUUAUAAAGAUCCCAUGGAAUCCAUAUGGAACUCUAGCAGGCAGCUCUAUAGAAGCCACUAUCUCAAGCGUGGGUGAUUUGGCAUCCAUGACCAAAAGCUCCGAGACACCACUUUCCUCAUCGUGGACAUAGCUUAAGACAUAUCCAUCAUCUUCCUCCUUGCCAUUCGCCACAAAGAAAGGCUCUCCACAAAACUGACCUCGUUUGAAUCUCCUUGACGCCACAAUGCACGGCUCGUUGAGGUCCGGGUCACUCGUUCCAUCGAUGACCACCCUGGGCAGCCGUGGAGCGUCCAGAUCGACCUUGGCCAGGCCCGAGAUUUUCGGCCAUGGCCCAUAGUAGCACAUGUAGACGUACCGAUUCUUCCGCCCCAGGAACUUCUGGUUGAUCUGUCCAAAAUCCAGUCCGGCCGAGCACACGUGUUGCUUCCACGACCGUCCAGAUCGAAGGUCCAGGUGGAUCUCGUGCAAUCUGUUGGACAAUCCGGCGAAAUCGUCAAAGAAAUGUUCUACCGGCGUAAUGGACGAGCUGAGCACGACGAUCUUGUCCGUCCCUUCCUCCCAAGCGUUGAUGUAGUGGAAUGACGUCCAAUCCGGGACGUCGAUCCAGCGAAUGCCGGAAGAGCCCACGGUCGGGAUGCGAGGGAUCACCCCGAAUCUAGGAACCUUGGCGGUAUCUCCAUCAAUGACCAGUUUGUUCUUGAGCAAUACAUCCUGGAACUUCAUCACGAGCUGAUUCUCUGGAAGGAUUGCGUAGUUCUCUGUUAUCGCGAAGUCGUGAAACAAGCACGGGUCCGGCAGCCACACGUCGAAAUCGGGGCUCUUCCUCCCGUUCGGGCUCGCCCAGAAGUAGCGGAGGUGGGGAUUGAUCACUGGAUUGAAGCUAACCGCGAAGAGCUCGCCAGAGAUUGGAUCGAUCUUUGGAUGAGCGCACAUCGGCAAGAACAAUCGCUUGUUGAAGCUGUAGCGGCCCAUGGUGAUCAAAUCCCCUGCUGGGGUGAUACUCACGGCAUAUGGCAUAUCAUCCUCGGACAUGGCCAGGAUUCGGCGAUCGAAGUAGGCCAUCCCAGCGUUGGAGGUUCCCAUCCCGCCCAAGAUAUUGAUCAGGCCCAGAGCCGUGCGCAUCACGAAUAGCCCGAAUCGUGCGAGCCCCGCAUAGCUGCUCAUGGUGCCCAGUGUGUAGGGGAAGAGAGGCUUGCCCGCUGCUUGCUCCUGGACGAAUCGAUUGUUCUGGGUGAAUCGCGCGCAGUAGACUGGAGCUUGAUCUUCUUCAUCGCCGAACUUGACAGAGUGGAGCAUCCCGUGGCCGUCGAAGUAGUUGUAGCCGGCGGGAGGAGGAUGGAGUGGAUUGGAGCCAUUGCGGAUGUAAGCACCGCCGCGGAGGCAGCGAGGGAUCGAGCCAGUGACUCGGCGGCACGGCGUUGGCGGGAACUCUCCAACCGGCGCGAAAUUAUCCGCGAGCUGGAUCUUGGGGUCUUGCGAGGGAGGAAACUCGCGAAGAUCAAUGUACGUGGAGAUGAAAUUCUCCACCGUGUCGCACAGGGCUACCGCCGCCGCCCGCGCCUCUUCGAUUGGAUUGGGGAUUGAGAAUCCAGGGGUAUUGAUAUACUUGCGAGAGGAUUUGGUGGCGGUGGCUGUGAUCCCUGAUGAUCUUCUCUUGGGUGGAGAUGGGAAGGAGAAGUUGGUAAGGCUAUAACCAAUAUCAAUCCCAGCUGUGGCAUGCAUGACAGAAUCAACGACUAAAAACAGUGCCAUUGGCAUACAUAAAUACAUUGAUCCCUCCAAUCGAAUUGGAUUGGACUCUCUGAGCCACACCAUUCGCAUAGAUAAGAUGAUGGCGCGAUAGAGAAAGUUUUUAAGGCUUACUCUGAGGAUUCUAGCUACUUGGGAUGUCGACCAAUUAGAAGCAAUGCGCGUGAGAACAAUGUCGGCAUUUGGAGAUGUCUAGCUUUCCUCUCGUACCCGUCUAGGAAGCAUGGGACCUUACCUUUACAGGAUGCAAUGUAAACAUUUGGAGAUGUCUAGCUUUCCUCUUGUACCCGUCUAGGAAGCAUGGGACCUUACCUUUACAGGAUGCAAUGUAAACAUUUGGAGAUGUCUAGCUUUCCUCUUGUACCCGUCUAGGAAGCAUGGGACCUUACCUUUACAUGAUGCAAUGUAAAUCCUGAGCACUCGAGUGUCCCACAUAAGAAAGUACUCUCUGCGCGAAAUAUCAUCUCUGUUUGGUUUUGCUGGAUGGAAUAGAGAACUGUAUCAAAUUUCUUCCACCUAGCUGGCAAUGACGUGGACACUCCCAUCUAAUAGGAAAAAUUGGCUAAGUUUACAGUUAGUCUUAAGGAGAAGCCCACUGCAGUGUGCUGCACCCCUCAAUUUUGAUCCAUCUCCUUCUUGAGACCAAAAGUGGCUGCGAAGUGAUCAAGACCUGGGAGAAAAACCCAUUUUGGGUUUUAGAGAGGAUCUCACAUCUACAUCCUCCAACUAUCUUCCAGUACGUCCAAUGGAUGCAUGACCUUCUGUGCCGGUCAGAAAACGAGAAAGACCGUCGGACGGCGGACGGACAGAUGCGAAGGUGUAUUGCCAAUUAGGUUGAGAGAGAUUAAAACAAGAUGGUGUUUAACGGGAUGCUCCAGCCACAAAUAGAUCAAGCACCUUGCGGCGGGAAAUUAUUUGACGUCCAAUUUGGUGGUGCAGUGUAUAUAAGCCACAGAUGGCAUGGCAGCUCUAGAUUGAGCAAUUGGUUCUCGUGGAAUGCCAUGCUCUUCGCCUUCACAUCUCUUGACCAGGCCAAGCAGCUGGUUGAUUGAAUGCCCGAGUGGGACGAUCAUGAUCACUGCCUUCUCUUGGUAUGGAUUCCUCCAACAAGCAGACGACAUUCCUGAUUAUGCCAGUAACAGGCAUUUGGAUAAAGUAAUGCCAGAAAGGAGCUUAAUCUCUUGGAGCACGAUUCUAUCAAAUGUGCCAAUUAGGGAGGUCUUGUACCUAUGCCAAAGUCUGCAUUUGCAAAAGGCAAAGAGAAUUUUGUUGGGCUCCCUCAGAAGUGCUUGUAUGCUUGGCUUGGCGGAAAGUGAGUCCAUGGAGCAACAACAAUAGAAUUGUUGAAAAAAUUUCUUAAUGCAGACGCUUUUUCUUGCAAUGUAAUGCUGCCCUGAUUUGCUCUAAUGCCAGGAAAGGGCAUCUGGAAAAGCUAAAGAAUCGAAGGUGUGUGUGGACUGCCAUGCUGACAGCAUGUAAACAACCAAAGGUUAGAGAAAACGUUGUGAAUUUUGAAAAAAUGCUAGAUCACAUAUCAUAGUAUGGAGCCAAGUAACAGUGCUCCAUAUGUUCUUAUUGCCAAUUCUCACAUAGUUACAUGGAUUAGUAAUUACAAGAGAUUAUAUCAACUUACAACUAUAUCAAAAUUUCUUACAAAGUGGCAUGGUUUUGGUUAGCUAUUUGAUCGGCAUUUAUAAAGAUCCCAUGGAAUCCAUAUGGAACUCUAGCAGGCAGCUCUAUAGAAGCCACUAUCUCAAGCGUGGGCGAUUUGGCAUCCAUGACCAAAAGCUCUGACACACCAUUUUUCUCAUCGUGGACGUAGCUUAAGACGUAUCCAUCGUCUUCUUCCUCGCCAUUCGCCACAAAGAAAGGCUCGCCACAAAACUUACCACGAAUGUCCUUGACGCAACAAUGCACGGCUCGUUGAGGUCCGGGUCACUUGUUCCGUCGAUUACCGCCCUGGGCAGCCGUGGAGCGUCCAGAUCGACCUUCGCCAGGCCCGAGAUUUUGGGCCAUGGCCCAUAGUAGCACAUAUAGACGGACCGAUUCUUCCGCCCCAGGAAUUUCUGGUUGAUCUGUCCAAAAUCAUGUUGCUUCCACGACCGUCCAGAUCGAAGGUCUAGGUGGAUCUCGUGCAAUCUGUUGGGCGAUAUCGUCAAACAGAUGUUCCACCGGCGUGAUCGACGAGCUGAGCACUGUUACGGUGGCAAGCCGUACGAUGUAUGGACAGACACCAGUGCCAGCUAGGACGCCAGGAGACGCGUCGUUUUUGGUUGUAUAUUGACCAAAAUCUCAUGAAUGAAAAUUCAUUCGAUGGUCAAACACAACAUGGUAUCGGAGCAGAUCUAUGAUCCUGGAUGACGAGAAGGAGAAACCAGCGUAGGAUGCGUAGGCGUGCAAUAGCAACAGCAAGACGCAUCACUAGGAGGAGAUUGUUGGCUCGGGUAGUUAGGGUUCUAGUUGCAAACUGGAAUACGACUGGACCGAGUGGAUAGGGGCGCCUCCUACCGAGAUGGCAGCGCCACCUCAGCCCCCUCCUCUUCCUCUUCGUCCUACAGCACCGCCUUCCUUAUCGGGUUUAUCUUUGCCGCAAACUCUUCACGAUGGCGAUGUCUGAGGCUGACCACCUCCCCACACACAUCGCUGCCGUUACUUGGCGCGAUGUAACAACCGCGUUGAAGAACACAGAACUGAGGCGCAAGGCGAGUGACAAGGAGACAACCUCGUUCUACACCACUGCAAAGACGCAGCAGAAAAAGAAGCCGUUCAAAGCAAGUGGGAGCUCUUCAUCAGGGAAAUUCCCACCUUGCGAGCACUGUAAGAAGACCAAUCAUGAACCUAAGAACUGCUGGUUUAAGUUCCCAGAGAAGCGGCCCAAGAAAUCAAAAGCACUCCUAGUUCAACCACCGCUCGACAUUGAAGCACAUGCUUAUGAGCGAGUGACCACUUGACGCACGAUGCGAGGUGGUUCAAGACGCUCCAAGAGCUGGACAUGCUGGCAGGAGUAGCUGUUGGUGAUGGCCGCACUCUCAAGAUCACGGGACGUGGAACCAUACUUCUCAAACUAUGUAGUGGCUUCACAGUCACGAUUGAGAAUGUUCUCCUUGUUCCAAAACUUAGCGCCAAUCUACUUUCAGUUGGCCAGCCCACAGACUCUGGCUUUGAUCUCCGUUUCAGUAAAUCUGAUUGCUCGUUCCUUACUCCUGAUGGCAAUCUCGGAUUUGUUGGCGUACGACGUGAGAACAGAGGCCUUUACGAGCUCUGUAUGGAACCCAUUCACGCCACAGAGUUGGUGGAGAAACCUCAUCAAUUUCUCACCUUUGUGGCGGCUAAGACACAUCAUCUUGAGCUUUGCCAGCACUCUACGCAUUGCUCAACUAGCUAAGGACCAGAUGGUUGAUGGUCUUGAUCCUCAGCUUGACAGCUCUACGCACAUCUCCUUCUGCGAAGGCUGCCAGCUUGGGAAACAGCAUCGGCUCCCUUUUCCUAAGCGUGGAGCAAAACGAGCCAAAGAAGUCUUGGAGCUUGUCCAUAGCGAUAUUUGGGGCCCUGCUCCUCAUGUCUCCUUUGGCGGCUCCAAGUACUUCAUUACUUUCGUGGACGAUUACAGCAGGAAGACCUUCGUCUACUGCUUGGUCACGAAAUCCCAGGCUCUAGAUAAGUUCGAGAUCUUCAAAGCUCUUGCUGAAAAGCAAACUGGAAAACCGUUGAAGCGACUCAGAUCAGAUGGAGGUGGCGAGUAUGUCUCUCAGAAGUUUUCUGCUUUUCUUCAAAAGCAUGGAAUUCAAAGAGAGCAAACCGCCCCGUAUUCCUCUCAGCAGAACGGUGUUGCAGAACGCAAGAACCGGAGCUUGAUAGAUGCCGCAAAUAGCAUGCUUCAAGCCAACCGCGUUCCUGCUACGUUCUGGGCUGACGCAGUUAUGACCGCCUGCUAUCUACAAAAUCGGCUCCCUACAAAAGUCGUGGUUGGAAAAACACCUGAAGAAGCCUGGUCAGGCCGCAAGCCAGCCAUAGAUCACUUGCGUAUCUUUGGAUGUGAGGCCUACACUCACGUCCCCAAGGCCAUCAGAAAGAAGCUUACGCCCACCAGCGAGCGAGGCAUCUUUCUUGGCUAUAGCCUGGAGCACAAGGCUUACAGGAUUUUCAACCUAGUCUCCAGGAAGCUGACUAUCUCCCGCGACGUUCACUUCAAUGAGAAUGCCACUCGUUCUCAUCCAGUGGGAGAUCUCUUCCCUCCUGCCCCGAUUCUUCCAACUGAAGACUCUUCUUCAACCUUGGAACCGGUGGUAGUCUCUCCUAUCUUGCCGCUGCAAGUGGGAGCUUCCAGAGCGCCAGAUCUCCAGGUGGGAGAUCUACGCGUUCCGGUUUUGCCAAAUUCGCCGAACAGGGGUGCCCUAUCCCCUGUUCGGCCUCAACCGAGAUUCUCCUCGAGGCCCUCCGGAGCAACCUGCAGUACCUCCGGAUCAGCCUCCCCGCCGGUCUUCCCGGUCGAAUUUAGGUGUCCCUCCGCAGCGGUUGAUCGAGACAAUGCUCUCGGUCGUUCAAGACAUUCCUGAAGGCUUGGUUGAGACAUUGCUUGCUGGCGUGGACAUUCCGGAAGUUCCUCGCAGCUACGUCGAUGCUCUUGCCUCUCCUAACAGAGACAAAUGGGUUGCAGCCUUUGAUGAGGAGUAUAACUCCUUUCUCAAGAACAACACCUUCUCCUUGGUGGAAAGAGCUCCGGCCGGGCGUAAACUAGUGAAAUCCAUGUGGAUUCCUAGUAUCAAGCUCAACCCAGACCACACCAUUUCUCGCUACAAGGCUCGCUUGCUGGCGAAAGGCUACUCUCAAGUGGCUGGUGUGGAUUACACUGAGACGUUUGCCCCGGUGGUCAAGCUGACUACCAUUCGCACCUUGCUCGCUUUAGCGGGUGCGCACAAUUGGCACGUACACCAGAUGGAUGUCAAGACGGCUUUCCUGAAUGGAGAGCUUGAUGAGGACAUCUAUAUGGAGCAGCCAGAAGGCUACAAGGUCCCAGGACAAGAGAGCCACGUUUGGAAGCUCCACAAGGCGAUUUAUGGCUUGAAGCAAGCCUCUCGCCAAUGGUACAAAAAGCUUGAUGAUUUUCUUGUGAAAUCUCACUUUUCCAGGAGCAAGAACGAUCCGAAUCUCUACUUUAAACGAGUAGGAGAUGAAGUGAUUUACAUCGCUGUGUAUGUAGACGACACUCUACUCGUUUGCAACAGCCUUGCUUUCCUAGCUAAAAUCAAGGUGGCUUUCUCAUCUCAUUUUGAGAUGAAGGACCUUGGUGAAGCUCGCUACUGCCUUGGCAUCCAGAUUGAUCGCAGAAAAGAUGGCUCUCUCUUUCUGCAUCAAACCAAGUAUGUGGAAGAUGUCCUGCAACGAUUCGGCAUGGACUCUUGUGCGCCUGCACCCACGCCAAUGGUUGCUGGCUUAAGACUUUCAAAGGAUACGUCUCCUUCUACAGACUCGGAUAGGAGGAAAAUGGCGAACGUUCCUUACCGAAGUGCCGUGGGAAGCUUGAUGUACCUGGUGGUGUGCACGCGACCAGACAUUGCCUUCUCAGUGAGCAUGGUAAGCAGGUUUCUCGACAAUCCAGGCCCUGCACAUUGGCAAGCAGUAAAAAGAAUUUUUCGGUACUUACGAGCUACCACUUCUUUUGGCUUACUUUACACGCCAAAAGUCACACGCUUACAGGGCUACUGUGAUUCGGACUGGGCUGGUUGCCCAGAUUCACGAAGAUCACACAAAGGCUAUUUUUUUAGCUUGCAACAAGCAGCUCUUUCUUGGAGCAGCAAGAAACAGAGUGUUGUGGCCUGCUCUAGCUGCGAAGCUGAGUAUAUGGCUGCUAGCGCUGCUUGCAAGGAGGCCAUCUGGCUUCGUCGUCUUCUAACGGACAUGGAACACUCUCUUCCAGGUUCAACAGCGAUCUAUUGCGACAAUCAGGGCUGCAUUGCCUUAAGCAAGAAUCGCAAGAUCAAUUCAAGAACAAAGCACAUGGACACAGUACACCAUUUUCUUCGAGACCAGUACGAAGAUGGAAUCGUCGAGCUUGUGUAUUGUUCUACUCAGGACAUGCCUGCUGACGUUCUGACCAAGGCACUCUCCCAGCCGAAAUUUUCUCAGUUUCGGGCUGCACUUGGCGUCUGCCCGAGUGGGAGUGUUACGGUGACAAGCCGUACGAUGUACGGACAGACACCAGUGCCAGCUAGGACGCCAGGAGUGUAUAUUGACCAAAAUCUCAUGAAUAAAAAUUCAUUCGAUGGUCAAACACAAUAAGCACGACGAUCUUGUCCGUCCCUUCCUCCCACGCGUUGAUGUAGUGGAACGAUGUCCAAUCCGGGACGUCGAUCCAGCGAACGCCGGAAGAUCCAACGGUCGGGAAGCGAGGGAUCACCCCGAAUCUGGGAACCUUGGGCGGUAUCUCCAUCAAUUACCAGUUUGUUCUUGAGCACUACAUCCUGGAACUUCAUCACGAGCUGAUUCUCUGGGAGGAUUGCGUAGUUCUCUGUUAUCGCGAAGUCGUGAAACAAGCACGGGUCCGGCAGCCACACGUCGAAAUCGGGGCUCUUCCUCCCAGAAGUAGCGGAGGUGGGGAUUGAUCACUGGAUUGAAGCUAACCGCGAAGAGCUCCCCAGAGAUUGGAUCGAUCUUUGGAUGAGCGCACAUCGGCAAGAACAAUCGAUUGUUGAAGCUGUAGCGGCCCAUGGUGAUCAAAUCCCCUGCUGGGGUGAUACUCACGGCAUAUGGCAUAUCAUCCUCGGACAUGGCCAGGAUUCGGAUCGAAGUAGGCCAUCCCAGCGUUGGAGGUUCCCAUCCCGCCCAAGAUAUUGAUCAGGCCCAGAGCCGUGCGCAUCACAAACAGCCCGAAUCGUGCGAGCCCGGCAUAGCUGCUCAUGGUGCCCAGUGUGUAGGGGAAGAGAGGCUUGCCCGCUGCUUGCUCCUGGACGAAUCGAUUGUUCUGGGUGAAUCGCACGCAGUAGACUGGAGCUUGCUCGUCUUCAUCGCCGAACUUGACAGAGUGGAGCAUCCCGUGGCCAUCGAAGUAGUGGUAGCCGGCGGGAGGGGGAUGGAGUGGAUUGGAGCCAUUGCGGAUGUAAGCACCGCCGCGGAGGCAGCGAGGGAUCUCGCCAGUGACUCGGCGGCACGGCGUUGGCGGGAACUCUCCAACCGGCGCGAAAUUGUCCGCGAGCUAGAUCUGGGGGUCUUGCGAGGGAGGAAACCCGCGAAGAUCAAUGUACAUGGAGAUGAAAUUCUCCACCGUGUCGCACAGGGCUACCCCGCGCCUCUUCGAUCGGAUUGGGGAUUGAGAAUCCAAGGGUAUUGAUAUACUUGCGAGAGGAAUUGGUAGUCGUGGCUGUGAUCCUCGAUGAUCUUCUCCUGGGUAGAGCAGGAAAGGAGAAGUUGGUAAGGCUAUAACCAAUAUCAAUGCCAGCUGUGGCAUGCAUUGAGACACAAUCAACGACUAAGAACAGUGCCAUUGGCAUACAUACAUUGGUCUCUCCAAUCGAAUUUCAGAGCUAUGGAUUGGGCCACACGCCUCGCAUAGAUAAGAUCAUAUUGUAGGGCUGAGGUGGAGAAUGUUACUAGCUACUUGGGAUGUGGGGACAAUCAGAGGUUGGAAACAAUGCGCGUGAGACCAAUAAUUGUGUGUCGGUAUGCUUUUUGGAGGGGAUGAAGACUAUAGAAACAUCAUGUAAAGGUAGGGUCCCAUGCUUCUUAGACGGGUACGAGUGGACCAAAAACAAAGCUAGCUAUAUUCAAUCUAGAUUCAUGUCUCCUAACGCACCACCACACAUCUCUGCUUUAGAAUAAUGUAAUUUAGGUGGUCAUGCGUUCGCAAGCGAGGUUUUGCUGGAUGGAAUAAAGGACCGUAUCAAAUUUCGGCAGUGGGAGAUUAUUUGGCGUCCAAUUUGGUGGUGCAAUGUAUAUGAGGUGUGGAUGCCCAUAGGUGGCAGGACAAGUCUUUUGCGGCUCUAGAUUGAGGAAUUGAAUGUCACCAAGCAACUGGUUGAUUGAAUGCCCGAGUGGGACGAGCAUGACCACUGCCCUUCUCUCGGUAUGGACUCCUCCGACAAGCAGAAGACGUUCCUGAUUAUGCCAGUAACAGGCAUUUGGAUAAAAAGCAACGAGCUAAUGCCAGAAAGGAGCACGAUUAUGUAGGGAUAUGGUCUUGUUUCUUGCCCUGGUUUGCUCUUAUUACAGCUGGAAAAGUUAAAGCAUCGAAUGUGUGAAACGACGAUGUGAACUGCCAUGCUGACAGCAUGUAAACAACCAAAGGUUAGAGGGGUGAAAAAAGGCUGGAUCACAGCGUGAUCGGCAUACGCCCGGAAUGGGCAUAUGGUUUUGCUAAGAGAAUAUUUGGAUGCGAAUUUUAGUUUGCUUGAUGUGCAUUGUAACAUUUUUUUUUUCUUUCUGAGCAGAAUUAAGAUAGUUCUGCUGCGAUUUGACUAGCAAAGAAUUGGCAGCGUGGAACUUUUGCUGUUGUUCAUCAUUUUCCUGUGUUUACUCUCUUAAAUUUUGGUAACGAUCUGCUAAAGGAGAAAAAUUUCUGAAGAUCCUUCCAUAACAGUUUCACGUUUGCAGAACUGGCAAACUCUAGCCAAUAGAGCAUUAGGUAUAAACCAUGAAAUGAAGGGAAGUUUCUUCCACGACAGGUUUCAUCCAGACACAAAAUAUUUGUUGAAGUCUGAAAGUUCCACGCUGCCAAUUCUUCGCUAGUCAAAUCGCAGCAGAACUAUCUUAAUUCUGCUCAGAAAGAGAAAAAAAUGCUACAAUGCACAUCAAGCAAACUAAAAUUCGCAUCCAAAUGUUCUCUUAGCAAAACGUUAUCCGGCCUUUUUUUAACAUUCACAGCGCUCCCUCUAACCUUUGGUUCUUUACAUGCUGUCAGCAUGGCAGUUCACAUUGUCGUUUCACACAUUCAAUGCUUUAACUUUUCCAGCUGUAAUAAGAGCAAACCAGGGCAAGAAACAAGACCAUAUCCUUAAAUAAUCGUGCUCCAGGAGAUUAAGCUCCUUUCUGGCAUUAGCUCGUUGCUUUAUCCAAAUGCCUGUUAGUGGCAUAACUGCUUGUCGGAGGAAUCCAUACCGAGAGAAGGCAGUGGUCAUGCUCGUCCCACUCGGGCAUUCAAUCAACCAGCAUCAUUUCCUGGAUCUAGAGCCGCAAAAGACUUGCCAUGCCACCUAUGGGCAUCCACGCCUCAUAUACAUUGCACCACCAAAUUGGACGCCAAACAAUCUCCCGCCACUGAGGGCUUGAUCUCAUUGUGGCUGGACGUGGGUAAAUUGGAUGUGGUUCUUUAUUCCAUCCAGCAAAACCUCGUUUGCGAACGCAUGACCAUCGAAAAUUACAUUAUUCUAAAGCAGAGAUGAUAUUUCGUGUGGGGGGCGUUAGGAGACAUGAAUCUAGAUUGAAUAUAUCUAGCUUUGUUUUUGGUCCACUCGUGCCCGUCUAGGAAGCAUAGGACCUUUACCUUUUCAUCCCCUCCAAGAAGCAUGCCGACACACAAUUAUUGGUCUCACGCGCAUUGUUUCCAUUCAAGACAGAGUAAGCCCUAAAAUAUCGAUCUUAUCUCAAGACCAUCAUAGCUCUAAAAUUCGAUUGCAGGGAUCAAUAUAUUCAGGUAUGCCAAUUACACAGUUAAUUUGGUCGCAAUGUCUGGGCCUGAUCAAUAUCUUCGGUGGGAUGGGAUCGAUAUCAACCAGCGUUGGAGGUUUCGCCGAAUCCUGGCUAUGUCCGAGGAUGAUAUGCCAUAUGCCAUGAGUAUCACCCCAGGAGGGGAUUUGAUCACCAUGGGCCGCUACAGCUUCAACAAGCGAUUGUUCUUGCUGAUGUGCACUCAUCCAAAGAUCGAUCCAAUGUCUGGUGAGCUCUUCGCGGUUAGCUUCAAUCCAGUGAUCAAUCCCCACCUCCGCUACUUCUGGGAGGAAGAGCCCCGAUUUCGACGUGUGGCUGCCGGAUCCGUGCUUGUUUCACGACUUCACGAUAACAGAGAACUACGCAAUCCUUCCAGAGAAUCAGCUCAUCCAGGAUGUAGUGCUCAAGAACAAACUGGUCAUUGAUGGAGGUACCGCCAAGGUUCCCAGAUUCGGGGUGAUCCCUUGCAUCCCGACUGUUGGAUCUUCCGGCGUUUGCUGGAUCGAUGUCCUGGAUUGGACAUCAUUCCACUACAUCAACACGUAGGGACGGACAAGAUUGUUAUGAGUGGUUGUGUUGUAUCUGGCUUAGGUCUAAACCAAAAACUUCAGCUAUUUUAUACCCAACACUGUUCAAAGGGAAGCACAGGCAAAUCAAACAACGAACAUAGCCCAGCUACACAUACGUACAUUCUGGGCCCAACUCAUCGGGUGGAUCGCACAGAGGUUGGUGUGCUCGAGCAGCUCCGUGUCCUUCCAGCGAACACACCCAAAUCAGACAACGAACACAUCCCAGCUCGUCUGGGCCCGGGACCUGAGGAACAUCAGCUUCAGCGACGACUUCAGGCCGGCAGGUUGCAGUCAAGGCGGUCAGAGUGCGGUCAAGGUUCAUGCAGGUGACGUUUGGGAGGAUGUUUACCGCGCGGCAGACACACAGAAAGUUGUAGUUGUCGGGGCGAUGUCGGGAACAGUGGCAGCGGCAGGGGGCUAUGUUCAGGUGGCUCGUCCAUUAGGCCGGUGGAACAUCUGUUUGACGAUAUCACCGGAUUGUCCAGCAGAUUGCACGAGAUCCACCUGGACCUUCGAUCUGGACGGUCGUGGAAGAAACACGUGUGCUCGGCUGGACUGGAUUUUGGACAGAUGAAUCAGAAAUUCCUGGGGCGGAAGAAUCGGUACGUAUACAUGUGCUACUAUGGCCAUGGCUCAAAAUCUCAGGCCUGGCCAAGGUCGAUCUGGACGCUCCACCGCUGCCCAGGCGGUAAUCGAUGGAACAAGUGACCCGGAUCUAAACGAGCCAUGCGUUGUGGCGUCGAGGAGAUUCGAACGUGGUAAGUUUUGUGGUGAAUGGCGAGGAGGAAGACAAUGGAUACGUCAUUUUAAGCUCCGUGCAUAAUGAGAAAAAUGGUGGAUGCCAAAUCACCCACGCUUGAGAUAAUGGCUUCUAUAGAGUUGCCUGUUAGAGUUCCAUAUGGAUUCCAUGGAAUCUUUAGAAAUGCCAAUCAAAUAGCUAACCAAAACCAUGCCACCUUCUAAGAAAAUUUGAUAUAGUUAUAUAAUCUCUUGAAAAUAUCUAAGCUAUGUAAUUAUGUGAGAAUUGGCAAUAAGAACAUAUGGAGCACUGUUACUAGGCUCCACACUAAUGGCAUUUUUCAUUGCAUCUCCACUCGCUACAGCUCCAAGCAAGCACUUCCAAUCCAUGGAAUCUGGGUAAUAUGGCAUCUCCCACAGAAGAUUCUCAGCGUCUUGGAUAUACCUUGACUGGACAAGCACACCAAUCAUACACAAGUAGUGUUGCUUUGAGGGUUUGAUGGAGUGAUCAAACUGGAAAGACACAAAGAGAUCCCGAGCUAUGGCAAUAGUGCCUUUGUGAGCACACGAUGUGAGCAAAGCUGUUAAGCUAGCUCCAUCAGGUGUAUUAGUAGUGACCAUGGUUUGCAAAGCAUCCAAGGCUCUGGAAAUGGCCCCAAUCCGAGAGUAUGCCGCCAGCAUUGUGUCCCAAGAUAUGAGAUCCUUGUCCGGCAUUGUUAAGAAUAUCCGAUUUGCCAUAUCCAGAUGCCCGUUUUGGGUAUAUGCAGAAAGAGUUGCACUCCAUGAAGAUUGGUUUCUUUCUUGGAUUGAAUCGAACACACUUUUGACCUGAGCAUUUGAUGCAAAACCACACAAGAGAGCAUUGAAAGCAAUAGCGCUCUUUUCAUUGGAGUUGUCAAAAAUUCUCUUGGCAAGAAGCAUAUGUCCACUUCGGGCAUAUGCCGACACGAGCACAAUCAGUGGUAUUUCGCCGUGACCUGGCAUUUUUUCAAAAAUACACAGGGCGUCCUCUAGCCUGUGGUUGUUUACAUAUCCUGUCAGCAUGGCAGUCCAGGUAACCUCGUUUCGCUCCCUCAUUCCAUCAAAGAGUUUCUUUGCCUUUUCCAGAUGCCCGUUGCUAGCAUAUGCUGUAAUGAGAGCGGUUGCCGGGACUAAAUGCUCGCCUUGAUCAGGCAGACCUAAAUAUAUGGCUUCGGCGUCGUGAGUCCGUCCUCGCCGAGAAUACAAGCGCAGCAUUGCAGUGCAAGCAAACGCGUUGUGGCGCUGCAUGUUGUAAAAAAUUUGCUGAGCCUCCGCGAUGCUGCUGUCGUCGUGAUCUGCGUAAGCGGACAGGAUUACCGCGCAUGAAACCACAUCGGUACACUCCAUCGACUCAAACAGAUUCUUUGCCUCGUGAAAGCAGCCACUUUCCACCAAGACGACAAGCAAAACCGUGGAGGCAACCAAAUCCUUGUGAGGCAGCGCGAGGAAGAAACACUUGGCAUCUUCCAAAAGCCCGUGCUGGCCAAAGCACUGAAUCAUGGACGUAAAAGACAGAGCAUCAAAUUCUGGCAUGUUGGAGAAGAUGCCCUUCGCCUCCUGCAAAUGCCCAGCCUGGGCAAGUGCUGAUAGUUGAGUGUUCCAAGCAACAAGAUCUCUCUCAGGCAUGGAGCUAAAGAGUGUCGUUAUUUGAAACAAGUUGGUGGAUUUGGAUAGAAUUGUGGUCCAAGAGAUGAAGCUCCUUUCUGGCAUAAGCUCAAAGAGCUGCAUUGCUUUAUCCAAAUGCCCGUUUGUGGCAUAUGCUAAGAUCAUUGCAUUCCAUGCUACAAGGCCUCUCUCUCUUAUGGAAUCGAAAACUUCUUUUGCCCGUAGGAGUAAGCCAUGCCGAGAGAAGGCAGUGAUCAUGAUCGACCAUGAAGCAACAUCCCAUUCGGGCAUUCGAUCAAACAACUGCUUUGCUUGGUCAAGGUGGCUGUUUGAUGCGAAGGCAGAGAGCAUGGCAUUCCACGAGAAUCGAUUCCGUGAUGUAGAGCCGCGGAAGAUUUGCCAUGCUGCCUCUGGGCAUCCACACCUCCCAUACAUUCGCACCACCAAAUUGCAUGCCAAGCAGUCUCCUGCUGCGAGGAGGUGCUCAAUCUCAUUGUGGAGCUUAGAGGCUGUGGAUAGAUUGGUACACUUCUUUAUUGCAUCCAACAAAAGCUCUCGACAAUCUAGUGUUAACAUGGUUCUCUACCAUAUAAUCAUGCACAAUCUUGGAUGGUUCCUUGGUUGUUGUAGAAACAAUCAUCAAUUCGGAGAUUAGUUUCAUGAUCAACAUUACUUUUAUCUUUGCACUUCGCAUAAUAGACCACCUUUGGGAUGGUUUCAUUGUUAUACAUGAAACCCAUGGGCGUGCAAAGAAAAUUUCUUGACGAGUUAAUGUUUUAAGAAGGUACUGAGGUGUCUCUAAGAAAUUUGCCCCGCCACACUUUAAAUUCCCAUUAUCAUUGUGGAUGUGAGUGUUCAAGACCAAAUAUUAGACACCAGUCUACAUGAAUAAUGGUUGAGCUGAAUUCAGCUAUAUGACAAGUAAGUGAGAAAUUCCCACAUCCAAAUGUUUUAGGAAUGAUCAAAGCAGCAAGCGAGGCAACAAUAGAAACUAUCAAUUGCACACCCAUUCUAAAAAUUAGUUUUUUGAAGUACAAACGCUGAGAUUUAUUGGCAAGUGAAAAUCCAAUCAACCUUUAUGGAGCAAAAUUUUUUGCCAUGUAGUCCACGUAGGAUUCGGUGAUGAAGUAGCUAAAUAUUCUUAUUGAUGAACAAACAUAUUCGAGAACAUUGGGGUUGUCAAACAUUCUCUUCGCAAAAAGCACACGUCCAUUUCGGGCAAGAGCACAAUCUGCUAUCACGCUGUGAUCAGCAUUGUUUCGAACGCUUCCUCCAACUUCUGGUAGUUAACAUACCCUGUCAGCAUGGCGGUCCACGUAACCUCGUCUCGUCAUUCAUCAAAGAGAUUCUUUAGAUGUUGCCGGACUAAAUGAUCGCUUUGAUCAGGCAGACCUAAAUAUAUGGCUUCGGCGUCAUGAGUCCGUUCUUGAGAAUACAGCGCAGCAUAUGCCAAUUAAGGACCCUUUUUUAUGCCGAGAGAUUUUGUUUCUUGGAACUUUCAUCUGCCUAAGCUGGGCAUGAAGAACAUCUUUUCCAACAUGCCAGAAUUUGCUCCUUUGUCGUUCACGCCCAGUGCUUUGGCCACCCUCAUAAGGAUUUGGUUGCGUCCACUGCUUUUCUUGUCAUCUUGGCGGAAAGUGGCUGCUUCACGAGUCCAUUGUCUUGUGCUGUGCUUGCGCAGAUCACGACGACAGUUGAGGCUGAGCAGAAUUUUUACAGCAUGCAGCGUUUAUGUUUAAGAGAUUAGCUCCUUUCCGGCAUAAGCUCAAAGAUGCACUCACACACACACACACACAAUUCAUGGAAUAAAAAACAGGAGUAAGCCAUGCUGAGAGAAGGCAGUGAUUGUGAUCGACCAUGAAGCAAGGUCCCAUUCGAUCAAACAACUGCUUUGCUUGGUCAAGAUGGCUGUUUGAUGUGGCAUGGCAUUCCAUUCCUCGAUCUAGAUACUUGCCAUGCCGCCUCAGGGCAUCCAAACGUCCCAUACAUUUGCACCAGAAAAUUGGAUGCCAAACAAUCUCCUGCCGCAAGGACGUGCUUGAUCUCAUUGUGAAGCUUACAAGCUGCAGGUAGAUUGCUACACGUUUUUAUUCCAUCCAAUAAAACCUCUUGACCAUACAUUGCUCUCUAUGAGAAAAAAAGCAUAUCUGUUGAUGCAAUCUUGGCUAGUGCCUUGAGAUUUGUAGAAACAAUCAUCGAUUCGGAGAUUAGUGUCUUGACCUACACCACCAUCGUCUUUGCAGCUUUGGGAUUUCCAUUUGUAAAAUUCAAACAUGCAUGUCGAAAGUGGGGCUGUAAAUUAAUACGCGAUCGCGAUCGGUACAGAUUCUUCAAACCGUGAUGUCACACCGCUUUGCCAGUGGGAAUCGCAUAUUAUGUUUGCUAGUACUGAAUUUACAUUAGUUCUAAGCAUAGAUCCAUAUAAAUUAUGGAGAGAAUUUUUUGCCUGCAACUAAGAAUCUAGUCCCGCCACACUUCAAAACUAGGAACCUUCAAACUUUCCAAGGACACACUGUUCUACAUGACUAUUGGUUAUAUUGAAUUCACUUACAAAGCGAAAUCCCCCAGAAAUGAUCCAAGCAGCAAGUCACACAACAAUCACUUGUACAACCAUUCUUAAAAUUUGGUUUUGAGGCAAGGAUAACAAUCUCAAUCUCGGUCAUGGAAGCAACAUGUGUGCUCGGCGGGACUGGAUUUUGGAAAGAUCAACCAGAAAUUCCUGGGGCAGAAGAACCGGUACGUCUACAUGCGCUACUAUGGGCCAUGGCCCAAAUUGUCGGGCGUGGCCAAGGUCGAUCUGGACCCCACGGCUGUCCAGUGUGGUAAUUGAUGGAACAAGUGACCCGGACCUCAAGGAGCCGUGCAUUGUGGUGUCAAGGAGAUUCGAACGUGGUAAGUUUUGUGGCGAAUGGUGAGGAGAAAGGGGAUGGAUACGUCUUAAGCUACGUCCAUGAUGAGAAAAAUGGGGUCUCGGAGCUUUUGGUCAUAGAUGCCAAAUCACCCACACUUUGAGACAGUGGCUUUUCUAGAGUUGCCUGCUGGAGUUCCAUAUGGAUUCCAUGGGAUCUUUAUAAAUGCCGAUCAAAUAGCUAACCAAAACCAUGGCACCUUGUGAGAAAAUUUGAUAUAGUUGUGAAAAUUGAUAUAAUCUUUUGAAAAUAUUUAAGCUAUGUAACUAUGUGAGAAUUGGCAAUAAGAACAUAUGGAGCACUGUUACUAGGCUCCACACUAAUGGCAUUUUUCAUUGCAUUGUAACUAUGUGAGAAUUGGCAAUAAGAACAUAUGGAGCACUGUUACUAGGCUCCACACUAAUGGCAUUUUUCAUUGCAUCUCCACUCGCUACAGCUCCAAGCAAGCACUUCCAAUCCAUGGAAUCUGGGUAGUAUGGCAUCUCCCACAGAAGAUUCUCAGCAUCUUGGAUCUGACAAGCACACCAAUCAUACACGAGUAGUGUUGCUUUGAGGGUUUGAUAGAGUGAUCAAACUGGAAAGACACAAAGAGAUCCCGAGCUAUGGCAACAGUGCCUUUGUGAGCGCACAACGUGAGCAAAGCUGUUAAACUAGCUUCAUCAGGUGUAUUAGUAGUGACCAUGGUUUGCAAGGCAUCCAAGGCUCUCAAAAUGGCCCCAAUCCAAGAGUAUGCUGCCAGCAUUGCAUCCCAAGGUAUGAGAUCCUUGUCCGGCAUUGUUAAGAAUAUCCGAUUUGCCAUAUCCAGAUGCCCGUUUUGGGUAUAUGCAGAAAGCAUUGCACUCCAUGAAGAUUGGUUUCUCUCUUGGAUUGAAUCAAACACACUUUUGGCUUCCAGUAACUGAGAAUUUGAUGCAAAACCAGACAAGGGAGCAUUGAAAGCAAUAGCGCUCUUUUCAUUGGAGUUGUCAAAAAUUCUCUUGGCAAGAAGCAUAUGUCCACUUCGGGCAUAUGCCGACAUGAGCACAAUCAGCGGUAUCUCGCUGUGACCCGGCAUUUUUUCGAAAAUCCACAGGGCGUCUUCUAUCCUGUGGGUUGUUUACAUAUCCUGUCAGCAUUGCAGUCCACAUAACCUCGUUUCGCUCCUUCAUUCCAUCAAAGAGUUUCUUUGCAGACCUAAAUAUAUGGCUUCGGUGUCGUGAGUCCGUCCUCAUCGAGAAUACAAGCGCAGCAUUGCAGUGCAAGCAAACGCGUUGUGGCGCUGCAUGGUGUAAAAUAUUUGCUCAGCCUCCGCGAUGCUACUGUCCUCGUGAUCUGCGUAAGCGGACAGGGUUACCGCGCAUGAAACCACAUCGAUACACUCCAUCGACUCAAACAGAUUCUUUGCCUCGUGAAAGCAGCCACUUUCCGCCAAGACGACAAGAAAAACCGUGGAGGCAACCAAAUCCUUGUGAGGCAGCGCGAGGAAGAAACACUUGGCAUCUUCCAAAAGGCCGUGCUGGCCAAAGCACUGAAUCAUGGACGUAAAAGACAGAGCAUCAAAUUCUGGCAUGUUGGAGAAGAUGUGCUUCGCCUCCUGCAAAUGCCCAGCUUGGGCAAGUGCUGAUAGUUGGGAGUUCCAAGCAACAAGGUCUCUCUCAGGCAUGGGGCUGAAGAGUGUCGUUAUUUGAAACAAUUUGGUGGAUUUGGAUAGAAUUGUGGUCCAAGAUAUUAAGCUCCUUUCUGGCAUAAGCUCAAAGAGCUGCAUUUCUUUAUCCAAAUGCCCGUUUGUGGCAUAUGCUAAGAUCAUUGCAUUCCAUGCUACAAGGCCUCUCUCAUGGAAUCGAAAACUUCUUUCGCCUGUAGGAGUAAGCCAUGCCUAGAGAAGGCAGUGAUCAUGAUUGACCAUGAAGCAACAUCCCAUUCGGGCAUUCGAUCAAACAACUGCUUUGCUUGGUCAAGGUGGCUGUUUGAUGCGAAGGCAGAGAGCAUGGCAUUCCACGAGAAUCGAUUCCGUGAUGUAGAGCCGCAGAAGAUUUGCCAUGCUGCUUCUGGGCAUCCACACCUCCCAUACAUUUGCACCACCAAAUUGCAUGCCAAGCAGUCUCCUACUGCGAGGAGGUGCUCAAUCUCAUUGUGGAGCUUAGAGGCUGUGGAUAGAUUGGUACACUUCUUUAUUUCAUCCAACAAAAGCUCUCGACAAUCUAGUGUUAACAUGGUUCUCUGUUGAAAAAACCAUAUAAUCAUGAACAAUCUUGGAUGGUUCCUUGGUUGUUGUAGAAACAAUCAUCAAUUCGGAGAUUAGUUUCAUGAUCAACAUUACUUUUAUCUUUGCACUUUUGUGGCAUACUCUCUCUCUCUCUCUCUCUCUCUCACUCACACACACACACAAUUCAUGGAAUAAAAAAAAGGAGUAAGCCAUGCCGAGAGAAGGCAGUGAUCAUGAUCGACCAUGAAACAAGGUCCCAUUCGAUCAAACAACUGCUUUGCUUGGUCAAGAUGGCUGUCUGAUGCGGCAUGGCAUUCCAUUCCUCGAUCUAGAUACUUGCCAUGCCGCCUCAGGGCAUCCACACCUCCCAUACAUUUGCACCAGAAAAUUGGAUGCCAAACAAUCUCCUGCCGCAAGGACGUGCUAGAUCUCAUUGUGAAGCUUACAAGCUGCAGAUAGAUUGCUACACGUUUUUAUUCCAUCCAAUAAAACCUCUUGACCAUACAUUGCUCUCUAUGAGAAAAAAAGCAUAUCUGUGGAUGCAAUCUUGGCUAGUGCCUUGAGAGUUGUAGAAACAAUCAUCGAUUCGGAGAUUAGUGUCUUGACCUACACCACCAUCGUCUUUGCAACUUUGGGAUUUCCAUUUGUAAAAUUCAAACAUGCAUGUCUCAAUUUGAGAAAGUGGGGCUGUAAAUUAAUAUGCAAUCGCGAUCGGUAAAGAUUCUUCAAACCGUGAUAUCACACCCGUAUAAAACCUUUGCCAGUGGGAAUCGCAUAUUAUGUCUGCUAGUACUGAAUUUACAUUAGAUCUAAGCAUAGAUCCAUAUAUUAUGGAGAGAAUUUUUUGCCAGCAUCUAAGAAUCUAGUUCCACCACAUGAUCAUUGUGGAUCAUUCAAAACUAAGAAAUUUCAGACUUUCCAGGGACACACUGUUCUACAUGACUAUUGGCUAUAUUGAAAGUGCUUACAAAGCGAAAUCCCCCAGAAAUGAUCAAGCCACACAACAAUCACUUUGUACAACCAUUCUGAAAAUUUGACUAUCUCAAUCCAGAGAUGAAACCAGCAUAGAGCAGAAUUUCACAGGAGGUUCAUGGAUGAUCCAAUCCAAUUGAUGGUGAUCACUGUCAAUCAAAUCCUCGAGAAGUUUGAUUGGGAAAAAUUCAAUCAAGACGCUUUUGGAGAAGCAAUUUCUAGAAAAAACUGGCGCGUCAAGGGGACUGGAAUCUCGCCACGUACGCGCAAAAAGCCACGUGGCUUGCAUAGAUUCGCCGCCACUAGGCGUGUGUUCUUGACCACGUCUGGCUCCACGCUUUCGAUUGACGCAAUAAAAGCACCAUUCCUCGUUUGGUGGCACAGUCUGUGCUCUGCGAUCUCAUCCCCUCCCAUCUCCGCUCCCUCCAAUUCGAUCAAUCCGGUAGCCAGUAGCGCUAGCAUCCAGAUCCUCUCCUCCAAUUCGCGUCAAUUCCAUGCUAUAGAUUACAGGAUCUAUGGCUUACUUCAAAUCUAUGGCAACUAUGGCGGCUGCCACGGCCACUGCAGCGAUCUACGAGGCUCGAGUCCAUCACUUCCAUCACGACUCGCCUUCCUCCUCCGCGAAUUCGCCAGAUCAUGAGCAAUUCCACCAGGAUCCCUCGUCAGGAGCGCACAGCCAAGGGGCAAGCAGCAAGAUCCAAGCUCAGGAUCACAAGAACCAAGGGGGAGGAGUGAUGGGCAGUGGUUGUAUCCCACAGCAUCAAGACCCAAGGCUCCAUUUCUUCGAUACUCUCAUCCCUGGCACUAGAUACUAGCGAUAGA
rnacentral:lncRNA from 1 species